rnacentral:rRNA from 1 species
UGAGCAAUCUGCCCUUCUCAUCGGAAUAAGCGUUGGAAACGACGUCUAAUGCCGAAUACGACCUCCUUUCGCAUGAUCGGAGGUGGAAAGCUCCGGCGGAGAAGGAUGAGCUCGCGGCCUAUCAGCUAGUUGGUGUGGGUAAUGGCCCACAAGGCGACGACGGGUAGCCGGCCUGGAGGAGGGUCGACCCGGCCACACGUGGGACUGAGACCACGGCCCAGACUCCGUACGGGAGCAG